rnacentral:antisense_RNA from 1 species
UACUAUGGCGGACUGUAUAGGGCAUCCUUCGGGAUGGCUGGUAUCGUAGAGACCAGUAAGGCUAACCUUAUACAGUCUGCCACCAAU